rnacentral:rRNA from 1 species
CGAAUGGGGAAACCCAGUGUGACUCGUCACACUAUCAUUAACUGAAUCCAUAGGUUAAUGAGGCGAACCGGGGGAACUGAAACAUCUAAGUACCCCGAGGAAAAGAAAUCAACCGAGAUUCCCCCAGUAGCGGCGAGCGAACGGGGAGGAGCCCAGAGCCUGAAUCAGCAUGUGUGUUAGUGGAAGCGUCUGGAAAGGCGCGCGAUACAGGGUGACAGCCCCGUACACAAAAGCGCAUGUGCUGUGAGCUCGAUGAGUAGGGCGGGACACGUGGUAUCCUGUCUGAAUAUGGGGGGACCAUCCUCCAAGGCUAAAUACUCCUGACUGACCGAUAGUGAACCAGUACCGUGAGGGAAAGGCGAAAAGAACCCCGGCGAGGGGAGUGAAAAAGAACCUGAAACCGUGUACGUACAAGCAGUGGGAGCACCCUUUGGGUGUGACUGCGUACCUUUUGUAUAAUGGGUCAGCGACUUAUAUUCUGUAGCAAGGUUAACCGAAUAGGGGAGCCGGAGGGAAACCGAGUCUUAAC